UGCCCCGGGUGAGGAUCGAACUCACGACCUUCAGAUUACUCGUUGGAGUGAUUAUGAGACUGCCUACUGCGCUACCGAGGC